UACGAAGGGGGCUAGCGUUGUUCGGAAUUACUGGGCGUAAAGCGCACGUAGGCGGAUAUUUAAGUCAGGGGUGAAAUCCCGGGGCUCAACCCCGGAACUGCCUUUGAUACUGGGUAUCUCGAGUCCGAUAGAGGUGGGUGGAAUUCCUAGUGUAGAGGUGAAAUUCGUAGAUAUUAGGAAGAACACCGGUGGCGAAGGCGGCCCACUGGAUCGGUACUGACGCUGAGGUGCGAAAGCGUGGGGAGCAAACAGG
rnacentral:rRNA from 1 species